ACCAAAGAAAGUAGGAAUUCCUUUUGGGAAUGUUCACAAAGGAUGUAAAAUAUUUUUGACCUCCGGAAGAGAAGAUAUAUUGUCCCAAGACAUGGGUAUCCAAGAAAGAUUUGAGCUUGGAGUUCUAUCAGAAGCAGAGGCAUGCAGUUUAUUUAAGAGAAUGGUUGGUGAUAGUACAAAUCAGGACUUAGAAUCAAAGAUGCAGUUGAGAAUGCAAGAAAAGAGUAGAUAAAUUGGUAAGUGACCGCAAAGCUUCUUGUUUGCUACUAGACGGUGACACGAGUGGGUCUGUGAAAAUGCAUGACAUUGUUAGAGAUGCUGCUCUUUUUAUUGCAUCUAAAUCUCAACACCUAUUCACAUUCAGAGAUA
rnacentral:misc_RNA from 1 species